UUUGUAAAUUUCAUACAUAUAUCAAAUAUUUAAAAUAUUCUCCAUUUUAACUAUUUGUAUUGGCGAACGCAUAUGUGAUAAAUAUUUGCGUGUCAAUGUAUCAUCAAAAAAAAUACUGAAAUUGGUACAUUUCGCCCAAACUGGUAACUCUAGUUACAAUAUCAAAUGUCAAAAGCCCCAGAAGCGCUGGCAAAUAGAGCAUAGAUCUAUUCGUAACUUCAAGCGCUUGAAGCAAAGCUUCAUUUGGUCUCUUUUCAUAUGCUCUAGUAUAGUUCUAUUCAGUGUUGACAGUUCUCACAGCAAAGCAAGUAAAGCCAGUCAGCAUUGGGUCUGGACCUUAACGCGUAAUUGCAUACCUCAGUAGUAGUGUGGAAACUGCAAAACACCCAAAAUUGAUUUCUAAAAUACCCAAUCUGAUUUCUUCGGUAGUGGCAUCACUGCCAAAUGUUAUAAAAACUGUGGAUUUUGACAGCGCUCUCACAAAACAAAGAGUUUCGUAUCAUGUCAUCCCAGCGGGAUAAUGGUUCACCGCUUACAUUUUUCUUUGAAGAAUACUUCGAAGAAAAUUCGAUGUUGAAUUCUUCGAUACCUGGUAAUGUAUAAAAGUAAGCUAUGCGGAACUUCGCUUACAUUUUUCUUGAAGAAUAUUUCGAUGAAAAUUCUAUGUAGAAUUCUUCGAUACAAGGUAAUGCAUAAAAGUAAGCUAUACGGCUAAAUUCUACUGUGUUCAUAUUUACAAAUCAAGGAAGUACAUGAAAAACGACAAAUACAAAUUGAUGGAAUAAAAUUUAUAAGUAAAUUUUUUCAUUAUUUCGUCAAAUCAUCAAGCAAAAAGUUGGUCGUGAUCAGGUGAGCUACUAUUUUAAUUAAAAAUUUUGUUUAUUUUUUUGUGUUUAAACUUAGAAUAAAAAAUAAAAGAAUGUUCUCACAAAGACAUAUGAGAAGACUUAUUAAAAAUGAAGAAAGUGAAUUUUACGGAAUGGCUGAAAAUGAUUCUGAAGAGAAUGCGGUGAAUUGUAGUGAAUUUUACGAAAUGACUGAAGAUGAUUCUGAAGAGGAUGCGGUGAAUUGUAGCUUUGACAAUAUUGAUGCUGAAGUCGAAUUUUUUGAAAAAGAAGAAAGUUCACAAAAAACGAACUGUGACAAAUUAAUUGAAAAAUUGAAAAUGUGGACUGCGCGUCAUAAAGUCACAAGGAACUGCUUCGAUGAUUUGUUAAAAAUAUUGCAGUCGGAGAAUAUUUCUGUACCAACAUCUUCGAAAGGAAUUUUACGGCAAGCGACCUGCAGAUUGAGAACUGUUGCGCCAGGAAAUUAUUUGCACAUAGGCCUAGAAAAGCAACUAAGGAGUAUCGCGAUAACGUUGAGUCACGUUGAUAAAUUUGAAAUCGAUAUCGUUAUUGACGGCUUACCUUUGUACAAAAGCUCAAAUGUAAGCUUGUGGCCUAUAUUGGCAAAAUUGCAUCCAAAAAGAAAUACGAAGGUGAUGUUGAUUGGUGUUUUUGAAGGCAAACAGAAACCGGCAGACGUGAAUAACUAUUUACACGAUUUUGCUUAUGAACUAAAAACUUUAACGCAAUACGGAAUGGAAGUCAAUGGCAGAAGAAUCAAAGUGAAAGUGCGAUGCUUUAUUUGCGAUGCCCCAGCAAGAGCAUUUAUCUGCCAAACAGUAGGUCACAACUCUUUUCAAGGAUGCAGCAAGUGCACACAAGUGGGUAAAAAAAUAAACCAUACAAUAACUUACAGUACAUUGACGGAAAAUCUUCGAACUGACGAUGACUUUGCUGCAAGAAAUAGCGUGGGCCAUCAUAAAAAAAUGGAAAAAUCGUGUCUCGAAGAAAUAGGUGUGGGAAUGGUCUCCGCUUUUCCUGUUGAACCAAUGCACCUUUUAGAUCUUGGAGUUGUAAGAAAAGUGCUAAAAUGUCUAAUUAAUGGUCCGAAUGUAGGAUAUCAGUUGACAAAGCAGCAGAAAAAUAUGCUGUCGAAAACUUUGAUUUCGUACAUACCUUACAUACCCAAUGAAUUUGCUCGAAAACCACGAAGCUUAGAUGAAAUUGCAAGAUGGAAAGCAAUAGAGUUCCGACAGUUUGUACUUUACACGGGAAUGGUUGCUUUGAAAGACAUUGUAUCUGACAGUAUUUAUUAUCAUUUUUCUUUGUUGCACUGUGCAUAUGCAUUGCUUUCGUCACAAAAAACCUAUGAAAACAAUUUAGAAGAAAUAAAGCAAAUGCUUAAUUACUUCGUGCACCUUUUCCCAACCUUUUAUGGAGAAGAAAAAGCAAGUUACAAUGUACAUUCAGUGCUGCAUUUGGUGGACUCCGUUAAAUCGUGCGGUUUUCUGAAUUCAUUAUCAGCAUAUGCAUUCGAAAAUUUUUUGCAAACCCUAAAGCGGUUCGUUAAAAGACCCCGAGAAACAUUACAACAAAUAAAUAACAGAUACCAAUACGAAAACGUGUUUACAAAAGACAGAUAUCUGGGUCCAAAAGUCAAUAGAUGUGGGAAGGUUAUUCGAUUUUAUGGAAAUGACUUUAAUAUCAGCGAUAAAUUACCGGAUAAUUUUUGCUACGUUAAACCGGGAGUGGCAAUACAAAUUAUAAGAUUAUCGAAGAAAGAUGAUUCCAUGCAUAUAAGGAAAAGUUUUGAAAAACUGCUGCAAUCUAUUUACGGAACCAUUGAAAUCGAUGAUAGAUUUGGGCGUUUUCAUAGCUGACAUUGACACCGAAGAAGCGGAGCAAAUCUAUGAUGUCCAACUUAUUUUAUACAAAUUAAUGUGUCUGCCUUACGAUAAUCAAUUUGUAUUUCUACCGAUUAUUCACAGCAAGGGCCUAUAAGAUGAGUUACCACGGGCUGAAGCCUUUUAGCGUGAAAUCGGUUGCGGAAAAUUACAAAAACGAAAAUUCUUGUCCAUGCAAAAUCGCCAGUCUGGAAAAAAAAAUUGAUGAAAUGCAACAACAUAUUGAGAAAUUGACGAAACACGUUGACACCACAAAUGAGCUGUUGAGAAAAUUAACCACCGUGCAGUCAGCAAAUAAUGCCCUCAUAAAUGCAAUGAGUUGCAGGCGCAAAUCUACUAAUAAAUUUCCAUUAAAAACUGAUGCAGCAUUAAAAGAACUUGACAAAGAAUUGGAAGGUAACAAGGAAAAACAUAUGCCUAUAAUACAAGACCUGCUAGGUCACAAUGCAAUUGAAAAAUCACUGCAUAAAAUUAUAGCAGUUGAAUUGUAGCUGGAAUACAAUUACUUUGGUGUGAAGGGUAAAAAAUCUUUGAAGGAAUUUACGCACUUUAAUGCGUUACUAUUUGGUAAGUUUUUCGUAUUUUUAACAUUGAAGGACAUAGCUUCAAAUUUAUAAACAUACUCUUUCAACUUUUUUUGUAGAAUGUGUGAAAGUUGAAGGUUUCACCGAGUCGGAGUAUAUACACCAAAUUCAAAAAAGUAUCAAACUCGCCAAAGACCGUUUCUUCAAGUCUCGUUGCUUGGAUAAAAAACGAAAAGAGGCUCAGCCACAAAAUUAAAAGCAGCAUACCAAUUCGAACAAAAAGGAACGAGAAAGGAUCUCGCGCACCUUUUUUCAUUACGACGUCGUUCGACCAACAUCUCCGCUUUCGCAGCAUCCCGGUUCUUUCCGCUAGUUACCCGCAUAUAGUUAUAUAUAUUUAACGUUUUUUAAAACCUGCUGUUUUCAACCUUUGAUCAUUUUAUAUAUACUAUAUAUAUGUGUAUUUAACGUUUUUAAACUAUUUCAAUUUGUAAUAAUUCAGUUCAGUUAAACGCAUUUUGUUAUAACAAUUUUUAAGUGCAUUUCGCAAAAAAUAAAACCUUUAUAACGAUUGUAUCGAAUUUAACUGUGGCAUGGUGGAAUUCUUUGUUAACUAUGGCAUCAAAGAAUUCUUCGUUAACUAUGGCAUCGAAGAAUUCAUCGUUAACUGUGGCAUCGAAGAAUUCAUCGUUAACUGUGGCAUCGAAGAACUCUUCAUUUACUUUGGCAUCAAAGAACUCUUCGUCCCUAUGGUAAGCGAAAGGGGUGAUCUGUUACUUUUCGUAGGACAUCGCCUUGUUAAUUUUCAUCGGUCGGAGUAAGCGAAACAAUCAUGCUACAUCGUUUACCUUGCUCGCUUACCAAUGUCUACCAUAUCCCGCUGGGAUCUUUUACUUUACUGCCGUAAAUUAACGUCUCGAACAAAGAACUUAGAACAUACAAUAGAAAACUUAUGGAUUGUUUACAUUAUUUUUCAUAAUUUUACACACCACCGAGGCGUACUUGGGUUGUGUGCUAUGCUUUUUUUGCUACAAUUGAGGUAAUUAGGGUGUUGUACUAACAUUUAAUCUUCACAAAAAUGUUAAUGUCUGAUGAACAACACUUAAAUAAAUAAUGUUACGAACGAUAUGGCAGCAUCAUUAACGUAAUCCUAAUUAGUUACGUUUUUUCCUAAUUACUUACGUAUGUCCUAAUUACAUACGCGCUUAUUGCUAUCGUGGCGAAUUUUGAUUGGUCGAUUUGGAGAAACGGGGGCAAUCAGAAGAUCAGUUAGCAAAGAAGGAAUAAAUAGGCAAAAGCGGGAGCCGUUGCUAACAGAUCGGCAUUAUCGCAUUAGAGGGUAGAGUGUAAAGUAAAUUUUUUAAUUCUCAGAACUAAUUGUUAAUUAAUUUAAAUUAAAAUAAUAAAUUAAUAUAAAUUAAUUCAAAACUAGCGUUUUAGUUCGAAUUGCAAAAAAUUCUUUAUAUUUUUUUACAUCUUAAAAAAUUUACU